GGAGAAAUAAAAAUGGAGCCUUUUGUACUGUGGAGUAAAUGUACUCACGCUUCUCAGCUACAAAAGGUUUCCAACUGCAGCAGCUUUCACGGACUGAUUGUAGCAGGCAGGCAAUUUAGUAGACAUUGUGCGAUUGGGGAAUUACUCCAGGAAUAGCUGGAAAACCAAACGAGAUGUCCCAGGAAACGCAGCAGCUUCUGGACAAAUGCAUUCGUCCUGCACUUGCUCCUGGCGCACGUGUGCCAAGCACUGGCCAAGUCCACGGCCGGGCCCUGCCUUUCGGGAGGGCCGACUUCAGACAGACCCACACGGGGACUCGGGCAGUUUGCUGUAUGCUCCAGAACUGCCGCACUCUCUACGGAAGCAUGACCGGCGGGAAGCAGGCCGUGAACUCACCCCGUGUAUCUCCAUGUUCCAUACGCCGUCAUGGAUCACUCAUGGGAUGAGCUUGCCUACCUACGCAUGUUUCUGGGUAACCCCAGUAUUAAUCUUUCUCUUGUCCCCUCUCAGUACAUCCUCAGGUGAAAAGGCAGUUUUUAAAGCACUAACGAAAUCAAAAAUAAAUGUGAGAGAAUCGGUGCCUCGUCCCUGAAGGCUGGGAAUCGUCCGUGACUACCUGACAGAGAUGUGGUUGCAGAGGUUUCUCCAACACAGACUGCCUCCACAUCUGCAAGUCCAGUGUGGGCACUCUGCACACAUUUCCCAUAGAGACAACAUACAAAUCAGGGUUCACUGUCGGGGCAGGCUGACAGAGCUCCGAAUUAACUCACAUGGUACGAAAAGCAUAGUGCCAUCCUAUUUUUUCCAUAUUUUUACUGAGAUAUAAUUCCCACACAGUUCACCCUUUUAAAGUGUACAACUUAGUGGCUUUUAGCAUACUCCCAAAGUUGGGCAACUAUCACCUGUAUCUAAUUUUAGAACCUUUUGUCACCCCCUGAAAAAAGCCUGUACCUCCAGCAACCGUCCCUCCCUCCUCCACAGGCCCCCGCCCCCACCACUCAGCUACUUUCUGUCUCUACAGAUUUGCCUACUGUGGCAUUUCAUAUAAAUGGAAUCAUCAAAUA